rnacentral:rRNA from 1 species
GAUGAACGCUGGCGGCGUGCCUAAUACAUGCCAGUCGAGCGAACGGACGAGAAGCUUGCUUCUCUGAUGUUAGCGGCGGACGGGUGAGUAACACGUGGAUAACCUACCUAUAAGACUGGGAUAACUUCGGGAAACCGUAGCUAAUACCGGAUAAUAUUUUGAACCGCAUGGUUCAAAAGUGAAAGACGGUCUUGCUGUCACUUAUAGAUGGAUCCGCGCUGCAUUAGCUAGUUGGUAAGGUAACGGCUUACCAAGGCAACGAUGCAUAGCCGACCUGAGAGGGUGAUCGGCCACACUGGAACUGAGAAACGGUCCAGACUCCUACGGGAGGCAGCAGUAGGGAAUCUUCCGCAAUGGGCGAAAGCCUGACGGAGCAACGCCGCGUGAGUGAUGAAGGUCUUCGGAUCGUAAAACUCUGUUAUUAGGGAAGAACAUAUGUGUAAGUAACUGUGCACAUCUUGACGGUACCUAAUCAGAAAGCCACGGCUAACUACGUG